rnacentral:rRNA from 1 species
AGUGAACGCUGGCGGUAGGCCUAACACAUGCAAGUCGAACGGCAGCACAGUAAGAGCUUGCUCUUACGGGUGGCGAGUGGCGGACGGGGGAGGAAUACAUCGGAAUCUACUUUUUCGUGGGGGAUAACGUAGGGAAACUUACGCUAAUACCGCAUACGACCUACGGGUGAAAGCAGGGGAUCUUCGGACCUUGCGCGAUUGAAUGAGCCGAUGUCGGAUUAGCUAGUUGGCGGGGUAAAGGCCCACCAAGGCGACGAUCCGUAGCUGGUCUGAGAGGAUGAUCAGCCACACUGGAGAUGAGACGCGGUCCAGCCUCCGAAGGGAGGCAGCAGGGGGGAAUAUUGGACAAUGGGCGGAAGCGUGUUCCAGACAUACCGCGUGGGUGAAGAAGGCCUUCGGGUUGUAAAGCACUUUUGUUGGGAAAGAAAAGCAGCAGGUUAAUACCCCGCUGUUCGGACGGUACCCAAAGAAUAAGCACCGGCUAACUUCGG